rnacentral:tRNA from 1 species
AAAGCUUUAGCUUAACCAAAGUAUCUGUUUUGCAUACAGAAGAUGUGGGUUAGUGUCCCGCAAGUUUUA